AUUGAACGCUGGCGGCAUGCCUUACACAUGCAAGUCGAACGGCAGCACGGGAGCAAUCCUGGUGGCGAGUGGCGAACGGGUGAGUAAUGUAUCGGAACGUGCCCAGUCGUGGGGGAUAACGCAGCGAAAGCUGUGCUAAUACCGCAUACGAUCUAUGGAUGAAAGCGGGGGAUCGCAAGACCCCGCGCGAUAGGAUCGGCCGAUAUCAGAUUAGGUAGUUGGUGGGGUAAAGGCCCACCAAGCCGACGAUCUGUAGCUGGUCUGAGAGGACGACCAGCCACACUGGGACUGAGACACGGCCCAGACUCCUACGGGAGGCAGCAGUGGGGAAUUUUGGACAGUGGGCGCAAGCCUGAUCCAGCAAUGCCGCGUGCAGGACGAAGGCCUUCGGGUUGUAAACUGCUUUUGUACGGAACGAAACGGCUUUUUCUAAUACAGAGAGCUAAUGACGGUACCGUAAGAAUAAGCACCGGCUAACUACGUGCCAGCAGCCGCAGUAA
rnacentral:rRNA from 1 species